rnacentral:rRNA from 1 species
GACAGAGGUGCCGAGCGUUAGGCGGAAUCACUGGGCUUAAAGCGUGUGUAGGCGGAUCGUUAAGUACCUUGUGAAAUCCCACGGCUCAACCGUGGAACUGCUGGGUAUACUGGCGGUCUUGAGCCACCUAGGGGCGAGCGGAACAAGCGGUGGAGCGGUGAAAUGCGUAGAUAUCGCUUGGAACGCCAAUGGUGAAAACAGGUUGCUGGGGGUGUGCUGACGCUGAGACACGAAAGCCAGGGGAGCGAACGGG